GAUGAACGCUGGCGGCGUGCCUAAUACAUGCAAGUCGAGCGAACAGACGAGGAGCUUGCUCCUCUGACGUUAGCGGCGGACGGGUGAGUAACACGUGGAUAACCUACCUAUAAGACUGGGAUAACUUCGGGAAACCGGAGCUAAUACCGGAUAAUAUAUUGAACCGCAUGGUUCAAUAGUGAAAGACGGUUUUGCUGUCACUUAUAGAUGGAUCCGCGCCGCAUUAGCUAGUUGGUAAGGUAACGGCUUACCAAGGCAACGAUGCGUAGCCGACCUGAGAGGGUGAUCGGCCACACUGGAACUGAGACACGGUCCAGACUCCUACGGGAGGCAGCAGUAGGGAAUCUUCCGCAACGGGCGAAAGCCUGACGGAGCAACGCCGCGUGAGUGAUGAAGGUCUUCGGAUCGUAAAACUCUGUUAUUAGGGAAGAACAAAUGAGUAAGUAACUAUGCACGUCUUGACGGUACCUAAUCAGAAAGCCACGGCUAACUACGUG
rnacentral:rRNA from 1 species